UGUGUGUAUAUAUAUUACCUCCUGUAAAUGAGAAGAAACACAUCAUGUCUGUAGUUUGGAAUAUUCCAUACUACAGACUUGAUGUGUUUCAGUUUUCUUGAUCACAGAUUUCGUGAUGCCCUUGUCAUGCAGCCUCUGCAGGCCUUCUGUGUCAGGUUGACUGAUUAGAUAAUUGGAAGCACCUGGCUGACUUUCUGUCCUCACCACUGCAGCCAGGCACAUGUGGCCUCCAGCAGCUUUUUUUAAAUUUGUGGAGGGGCUAGCCAAAGCAAAAACAAAUAUUCUGUUUUAGCAUGCCCCCAGCAGUAUGUUCCCUGUUGCUUUUAUUUGUUGCUACGUUAUUGAUGGCAAGCUGUCAUAGCACUGAAGCUCAUCCAGGUUCCAUAAGGGGUAACCACAAUAAUGGACCGGGCAGCCUGGAUACGUUUGACGUCAACAUCAACUCAACCAAUAUCACUCAUUUUGGCUAUGGAAUUGCUGCAAAUAUGGUUGCUGUGCUGCUGUACGGAAGCAAUUUUGUCCCUAUCAAAAAAAUAGAGACAGGAGAUGGUAUGUUCUUCCAGUGGGUGAUCUGCGCGGCAAUAUGGGUAGUAUCUAUGAUAGGAGACAUGAUCCUGAAGUCACCCAAAUUCUACCCUUUUGCAAUGCUUGGCGGUGUGAUGUGGGCUACAGGCAAUAUAGCAGUGGUUCCAAUUGUGAAAUCGAUUGGUCUUGGUCUUGGAAUGCUAAUCUGGGGAUCCUCUAGUAUGUUGAUGGGCUGGGCCAGUUCAAGAUUUGGCUGGUUUGGGAUAGCUGCUCAGGAUAUUUCCAGGCCAAUAUUAAAUUAUUGUGGAGCUGGGUUGUGUCUGCUCAGUGGCCUCAUCUUUUUCUUUGUGAAAGCUGAUCUAGAGCUACAUCCCAAUUCAGAAUCAAUUCCGCUACUAAUCGACAGAAGAACAAAUUCAGGCAGUCACGCAGCAAGGUCCUCUGAGUUCUGGAUGGACACCAUUGGGCCAAAGGCCAGGCGAUUUAUCGGUUGCCUGCUUGCUGUUGUAGUGGGCCUGCUUUAUGGUUGUUCCUUUGUGCCUAUCCUCUACAUUAAGAGCCAUUCAUCGUGCUAUGACAGCAUCUUCUAUGGAGCCAGUGUCUAUGAUCUCGACUAUGUUUAUGCGCAAUGCUCUGGGAUUUUCGUUGCAAGCUCUGUGUACUUUGCUGUCUACUGUGCAGCCAUGAAUAACAAGCCCAGAGUUUACUCCAGGGCCAUUCUACCAGGACUACUGUCUGGCGUGAUGUGGGCAGUGGCCACAUACUGCUGGUUCCUGGCUAAUAACUACCUGAGUUCUGUUAUCACCUUUCCCAUAGUUACUGCAGGAUACGGUCUGGUGGCAGCACUGUGGGGAACCUUGGUGUUCAGAGAGAUUAAGGGCUUGGGGAACUUCUUCAUCUUCUUCUUGGCCUCAUGUGUGGUGCUGGCUGGGUCCUUGCUCACCGCCUUCUCAAAGCUCUAAUAUCGCAGAACAAAGUCAAGUAAAAACAUCUCGUGGUCAUGUAGCGAUUGUCACAUUUUCUAUCACAGAAUAUGGUGACCGUGUCACUUAAUAUUUAUUCACAGCAUUUCCUAUUAAAAAGAAUAUCCCCA